UCCGGGCUCCGCCUCCUCCGCGUCGUCGUCGCCCUGCGGCCGUCGGCAGCCUGUAGCCCUCGGCCCGACCGCUGGGCCCCCUGCGCUGGCCGGCGCGCUGCUGGUCCCCGCGCGAUCCCAGUUCGUUGGCGGCGGCAGCGGCCGCUCUGCCCGCCCCGCACCGGCUCGGCUGGUGACGCUGCAGCAGCCGGGCCCGCAGGUUCCGGACGGGCCUCAAGUCACUUCCGGGGCGGGGCGGAGCGACGGCGUCGGAGGAGGUGGCGGCGGUGGCGGCGGUGGUGGCGGCAGCGGGAGCCCAGCGGGCCGCGCCUUUCUCGCCGUGGGCCGGGCUCGGAGCCCCCACCCCCGGGCCUCACCGGCAGAGCGCGAGCCUGCCCCACCGGAAACACGAAGCCGAAUUCCAGGCUAUUGUCCUUCCUCGCCUGGGGUUGCGCGGUCCCUGUGGCUGUCCUCGGGAGCCCGUAGUCGCGGUGCUCUCCGCCAAGGCGGUGGGCCUAGUCCCCCACGCCGAGUGUGUGGAAAAACCUAGAAUGGCAUCACAGAAGCUAAAAGAGGAGAAAGUUUCCAGGGAGAGAGAUGCUACUCAAGAAUCAGGUAAGAUAAGGACCAAAGUAGCCAAGGUCAUUAUUGACCUUGACACACACAAUGCCAGAGGCAUGGUAGGACAGAGAAGCUGGAUUGGAGAAGAUUCAAGAGUGACCUGGUGAGGGAAUAGAGACAGCAUGCAGAGAUAGGAUAUUUCAAGAAGUUUUCUGUGAGAGGAAGCAAAAGAAGGAAAGGUAGUAUAAAGAUGAUAGAAGUCAAUAAAAGGCUUUUUACUAUGUCAGAUACUAGCACAUGUUUAUAUUAUCAGAAUUAUUCAUUAGAAAGGAGAGGUGAGAUUGUGGAGGGUGAGGGAUUGGAUCCACAGCAGGAGUGAAAUGAUAGGAAGAGAGAUACUCCCUACAUUGAAACAGGAGGGAAGAAGGAGAUAUACAGAUUUGGAAAUCC